rnacentral:rRNA from 1 species
AACGAACGCUGGCGGCAGGCUUAACACAUGCAAGUCGAGCGCAUCCUUCGGGGUGAGCGGCAGACGGGUGAGUAACGCGUGGGAAUCUACCUUUUGCUACGGAAUAGCUCCGGGAAACUGGAAUUAAUACCGUAUGUGCCCUUAGGGGGAAAGAUUUAUCGGCAAGAGAUGAGCCCGCGUUGGAUUAGCUAGUUGGUGGGGUAAAGGCCUACCAAGGCGACGAUCCAUAGCUGGUCUGAGAGGAUGAUCAGCCACAUUGGGACUGAGACACGGCCCAAACUCCUACGGGAGGCAGCAGUGGGGAAUAUUGGACAAUGGGCGCAAGCCUGAUCCAGCCAUGCCGCGUGAGUGAUGAAGGCCUUAGGGUUGUAAAGCUCUUUCACCGGAGAAGAUAAUGACGGUAUCCGGAGAAGAAGCCCCGGCUAACUUCGUGCCAGCCGCCGCCGUAACAC